rnacentral:rRNA from 1 species
GAUGAACGCUGGCGGCGUGCCUAAUACAUGCAAGUCGAGCGAAGCGGGAACGGGUGAGAAACACGUGGAAACCCUCCUAUAAGAGUGGGACAACUGCGGAUAACCGUUGCUAAAGCGGAUACUUAGAGAUGGAUCCGCGCUGAAUUAGCUAGUUGGUAAGGUAACGGCUUACCAAGGCAACGAUGCAUAGACGACCUGAGAGGGUGAUCGGCCACACUGGAACGGAGACACGGUCCAGACUCCUACGGGAGGCAGCAGUAGGGAAUCUUCGGCAAUGGGCGAAAGUCUGACGGAGCAACGCCGCGUGAGUGAUGAAGGUCUUCGGAUCGUAAAACUCUGUUAUUAGGGAAGCGGUAUCUAAUCAGAAAGCCACGGCUAACUACGUGCCAGCAGCCGCGGUAAUAC